AUCUACGGCCAUAGCACCCUGACACGCCCAAUCUCGUCUGAUCUUGGAAGCUAAGCAGGGUCGGGCCUGGUUAGUACUUAGAUAGGACAAUCAGAAACAGUCUGGCCCAGAACCGGUGCUAUAUGGG
ensembl:rRNA 5S_rRNA 5S ribosomal RNA